GACGAACGCUGGCGGCGUGCUUAACACAUGCAAGUCGAACGGAAAGGCCCUGCUUUUGUGGGGUGCUCGAGUGGCGAACGGGUGAGUAACACGUGAGUAACCUGCCCUUGACUUUGGGAUAACUUCAGGAAACUGGGGCUAAUACCGGAUAGGAGCUCCUGCUGCAUGGUGGGGGUUGGAAAGUUUCGGCGGUUGGGGAUGGACUCGCGGCUUAUCAGCUUGUUGGUGGGGUAGUGGCUUACCAUGGCUUUGACGGGUAGCCGGCCUGAGAGGGUGACCGGCCACAUUGGGACUGAGAUACGGCCCAGACUCCUACGGGAGGCAGCAGUGGGGAAUAUUGCACAAUGGGCGGAAGCCUGAUGCAGCAACGCCGCGUGCGGGAUGACGGCCUUCGGGCUGUAAACCGCUUUCGCCUGUGACGAAGCGUGAGUGACGGUAAUGGGUAAAGAAGCACCGGCUAACUACGUG
rnacentral:rRNA from 1 species